rnacentral:pre_miRNA from 2 species
GUUGUGGGGACUGUUGUCUGGCUCGAGGUCAUUCAGAUUCAUAUACUAAUUGAUUAUCAGACUGAGUGAUGCCGGACCAGGCUUCAUUCCCCUCAAC